GCGGUUAUAGCUCAGUUGGUAGAGCGUUGGCUUCCCAAGCCGAAGGUCACGGGUUCGAGACCCGCUAACCGCU
rnacentral:tRNA from 2 species